rnacentral:rRNA from 1 species
GAAAAGUCCCUUAGGGUAUAGUAAACUCCUUUUCGGAUCGGGAAAGAUAAAUGACGGUACCGAGAGAGGAAAGCCCCGGCUAACUUCGUGC